GCCCGAACCUGCCCCGCAGCUGUUCUGCGGUCCCAGCUGAGGCACGGGAGCGAGGCCCAGCGUGUGGCAACCCUGAGCCUGCUGGGAGAGCUGGCCCGCUCUGACGCUCCUGUAGCAAGGAAGAAGCUGCCCCAGGUGGUGGCAGCUGUGCAGCUGGUGUGCAACGACCCCAGCGCCCAGGUGCGGAGGGCAGUUCUGGAGUUCAUCUGGGAAUUGCUCAGCUCCGGCUCCCAGAGCUGCUGGCCACGGGAUGUGGUGGGGCACAUCUUCAGCGAGUACAG